AGACAGGUGCUGCAGAUCUCACGGCCGCGUCUCAGGAGCUGGUGCUCGGUGCACGUUCCGUGGGGGAUGCUCCGCAGUGCAGGCUCGCGCCCGGGUUGACACGCAGACCUCCUGAUCAUUGCAGGAGCUGAAACGAAAUAUCAGAGUUCACUGUCGGAUUCGUCCUUUGUUGCCUUUUGAUAGUGAAUCCGAUGAUCCAGUUUUGCAGAGCAGCUCCAUCUCUAGAGAAGUGGCCCAUGCUGUUGAUGACGAUCUCUGGUGGAGCCUGAGAAUGGAAUUGGCCUAAGGCAGGUUGACGGGGAAGAGCAUCGGAUUUGUUGAAUGUGGGGUCUACCUGACACGGAGCCACCCGGAAAAUGAAGAGUUAAGGAGUGGCACAGCCUGCACGCUGCCCUGCGGGGUUGGGCAGAGGCCACUGUGGACAAGCAACCAAAUGAGAUGGGAGACAGAGGGAAGGCGAGAG